rnacentral:rRNA from 1 species
UGCUUAACACAUGCAAGUCGAACGGCAGCACAGUGCGUAGCAAUACGCAUGGGUGGCGAGUGGCGGACGGGUGAGUAAUACGUGGGAACCUGCCCAAAUGUGGGGGAUAGCCCGGGGAAACCCGGAUUAAUACCGCAUACGCCCUUCGGGGGAAAGCGGGGGAUCGUAAGACCUCGCGCUUCUGGAUGGGCCCACGUCCGAUUAGCUAGUUGGUAGGGUAAAGGCCUACCAAGGCGACGAUCGGUAGCUGGUCUGAGAGGACGAUCAGCCACACUGGGACUGAGACACGGCCCAGACUCCUACGGGAGGCAGCAGUGGAGAAUCUUGGACAAUGGGGGAAACCCUGAUCCAGCAAUGCCGCGUGUGUGAAGAAGGCCUGCGGGUUGUAAAGCAC